CAGCACCGCGGUAAUACCGGCGGCCCGAGUGGCGGUCACUAUUAUUGGGCUUAAAGCGUCCGUAGCCGGGUUGGGAAGUCCUCCGGGAAAUCUGGCCGCUUAACGGUCAGAAUGCCGGAGGAUACUCCCAGCCUAGGGAGCGGGAGAGGCCGAGGGUAUUCCCGGAGUAGGGGUGAAAUCCUAUAAUCCCGGGAGGACCACCUGUGGCGAAGGCGCUCGGCUGGAACGCGUCCGACGGUGAGGGACGAAGGCCAGGGGAGCAAACCGGAUUAGAUACCCGGGUAGUCCUGGCUGUAAACGAUGCGGACUUUGUGUCGGACAAGCUAUGAGCUUGUCCGGUGCCGGAGGGAAACCGUUAAGUCCGCCGCCUGGGGAGUACGGCCGCAAGGCUGAAACUUAAAGGAAUUGGCGGG
rnacentral:rRNA from 1 species